GACGCCUCCGCCUCCGCCUCCGCCUCCGCCUCACGCCGCCGCGCCAGCCUCCGCGUCCAGGCUGCGCCGCCGCGCCACCCUCCCCGUCCAGGCCGCGCCGCCCUCCAUCUCCUCCACGGCCUCUCCGUUUCCUCGCCGUCCAGCCGCCGCCGUCUGCCUCCCCGUCCAGCGCCGCUCGUCUGUCUCCCCGUCCAGCACCGCGUGGUCACCGCCCCUCGUCAGCGCCGCUCGUCGGAUCCGCAGUUUCUGCUCCGCCGCCAAGUACUUCGUACUAUGCUUCCAUUGGCGUUCAUUAGAAGAUCGAUGUGUUGUUUAUUUCCGGAUCGACAUCAUGGAAGGCUAUCCUAUUUCUGUGAUGGAAUUACAUCUAUUUAUCUAAUAAUUGUGGGCUAUAAUUUGAAUAGUUGUGCAAUUUUUUUUAUUUGUCACAAAAAUAUUGCUACAAAUCAUGUAAAUUAUUUUUUAAUAUUUCAUAUAAUUCUUGUUAAUGGUAGUCAAA